rnacentral:lncRNA from 1 species
UGCUCUGGUUUUGGCAAGUUUUGGGCUUCCAUAUCAUUUAAUGCUCUAAACGACUGUCGUUUGUCAUUUGUUUUCAAAUGAAUAAUUAUGUUUGUGACGCAGACGAUAUGUUUUCUUUUCCAAGAAACUUGUUGUAGACAUCUGUUUUUUCCUUAAUUUGGAAAGGUAUGUUGACUGAAAAGAUGUUUUUCACUGGAGGAGCUGGGUAUAUCGGAAGCCCUGUGUAGUUAUUGAGCUUAUGGAACUGGCUAUCUGGUUAUUUCUUGUGAGACGUUUGGGAAGAUUGGCUGCUUCUGGAAGUGAUAGCAUUCAGUUAAGCCGAGUAAUAAAAGAAAUAACCUUAACAUUGCCAAGGAAUAAGUCAUUGGAAAGAAUAAUUCACUAUACAGUAGCGAAGAAGUUAAAGGCGAAGAAGUUAAAUCUCAAGAACAGAGCUAAGAAACGCCCAAUUGAUUAUUCUCCCAGCAAAGAUUCAUCAAGUAGUUCAUUCAGGGCUGAUAAAGAGAAGUCAAAGUUGCAGAAGGAGCUGUUGUCUUCUGUUGUCUCCGCAGUCGAGCUUAUGUCUCAAGUUGAGUCAGCCUACAAAGAAAGGGCCAGUUAAAACGUACACCAAGCAAGUAGAAAAGUUAGAGUUGCACGUUCAUGAGUACACACUCUAAGUGGAAGAGCUCAACAGCAUAUUAUCGACAUCAGCAGCCACAAAACUCGUUUGAAAACAUUGAACCAAGGAAGUUCGAUAGCUGAAAUUCAGCUACGAAAAUAUCAGCUAUUUGAAGACCAACUCAGCUCAAGCCAAAUCAAUUCGAACAUCUGCGUCGUCGCUUUGAAGACAAAGAACGCAUCCAAGUACGAACAUGCCUUCACUUUUCUUACCGAAGAGAUCGAAGAAAUCAGGCGCAAAUUUCAAAUCCAGGUUACAUAACUGAAAAACAGAUCAGUGCUUUGAUUUCCAAAUGCUCAGGUUUGGAGAAAAGGACGUCACGUCUACAGAGUGAGGUAGACGUUCUCAUUAUCGAUUUGGAGAAGGCUAAUAGCACCGCCGCAAGCAACUGGAGCUCAUCAACAUUGAAUUCAAAUUCAAAUUGGAUGAGAUUGAGCUGACUGUUUGACUCACGAACCGGGCAAAACUUGCGAACUGAAAGAUCAGCUUACCCGUUAAAACAAGAAAUUGGGCGAUGAGAACGCUGAGCUUAAAAGCCAGUACUCUGAACUCAACUGCAGAUUCCAUGAGUUAGAAAUUGAAUAUCGCCGUCUAGAAAACGAACGUGAAGAGUUGGCAUACAAAGAAAUUCAGAGGCUGCUCGUAAAGGUGAAGAAUAUCGCGUUCAACUCAUGGAAUUUCAGCUGAGAUGAACGAAUCCAUCUCGAUAUGGAACACUUACCGAUAAGGAGGAAGAGCUCGAGUCUAUCAAGAAGCAAAUGUCUAUAUCUAAAUCAACCAGUUGAACUCUCGUCUUGUCCAUGCGGAAACCAAGUUGAAAACCGAAAUUCAGUGCAUCCGGAAAAAGAUGAUGAUCACAAUCACCGAGUUGGAAAUGAAAUUCGACGUUGCAAACAAAGACAACAUAUCGAGCAAUCCCUGCAAAUUGUCGUAAAUUUUUAGGCAGCUAUCCAAUUAUCUGGUUUUUUGCAUAUUAUCAGUUUCUACUCUUGAUAUGUUGUAUUGAAAUUUGGCAAAGUUUUCAUUUUGUAUAACGUAAAGGAAAACAAUAAAUAUCUUGAGAUUUA